GAUGAACGCUGGCGGCGUGCCUAAUACAUGCAAGUCGAGCGGACCAAAGAAAGCUUGCUCUCUGAGGUUAGCGGCGGACGGGUGAGUAACACGUGGGUAACCUGCCUGUAAGACGGGGAUAACUUCGGGAAACCGAAGCUAAUACCGGAUGAUAAAGAGAAACGCCUGUUUCUUUUUUGAAAGUCGGCCUUGUGCUGACGCUUACAGAUGGGCCCGAGGCGCAUUAGCGAGUUGGUGAGGUAACGGCUCACCAAGGCGACGAUGCGUAGCCGACCUGAGAGGGUGAUCGGCCACACUGGGACUGAGACACGGCCCAGACUCCUACGGGAGGCAGCAGUAGGGAAUCUUCGGCAAUGGACGAAAGUCUGACCGAGCAACGCCGCGUGAGCGAUGAAGGCCUUCGGGUCGUAAAGCUCUGUUGUCAGAGAAGAACAAGUACCGGAGUAACUGCCGGUACCUUGACGGUCCCUGACCAGAAAGCCACGGCUAACUACGUGCCAGCCGCCGCUGUAAUAC
rnacentral:rRNA from 1 species